GGUGAACGCUGGCGGCGUGCUUAACACAUGCAAGUCGAGCGAGUGAGUUCUUCGGAACGAUCUAGCGGCGGACGGGUGAGUAACACGUGGGCAACCUGCCUCAUAGAGGGGAAUAGCCUCCCGAAAGGGAGAUUAAUACCGCAUAAAAUUAUCGAGUGGCAUCACAUGAUAAUCAAAGGAGUAAUCCGCUAUGAGAUGGGCCCGCGGCACAUUAGCUAGUUGGUGAGGUAAUGGCUCACCAAGGCGACGAUGCGUAGCCGACCUGAGAGGGUGAUGGGCCAAAUUGGGACUGAGACACGGCCCAGACUCCUACGGGAGGCAGCAGUGGGGAAUAUUGCACAAUGGGGGAAACCCUGAUGCAGCAACGCCGCGUGAGUGAUGAAGGUCUUCGGAUUGUAAAGCUCUGUCUUUGGGGACGAUAAUGACGGUACCCAAGGAGGAAGCCACGGCUAACUACGUGCCAGCAGCCGCCGCGG
rnacentral:rRNA from 1 species